AGAACGAACGCUGGCGGCAUGCCUAAUACAUGCAAGUCGAACGAAUGCCCUUCGGGGUGUUAGUGGCGCACGGGUGCGUAACGCGUGGGAAUCUGCCCUUGGGUUCGGAAUAACAGUUAGAAGUGACUGCUAAUACCGGAUGAUGACGUAAGUCCAAAGAUUUAUCGCCCAGGGAUGAGCCCGCGUAGGAUUAGCUAGUUGGUGGGGUAAAGGCCUACCAAGGCGACGAUCCUUAGCUGGUCUGAGAGGAUGAUCAGCCACACUGGACUGAGACACGGCCCAGACCUCCUACGGGAGGCAGCAGUAGGGAAUAUUGGACAAGUGGGCGAAAGCCUGAUCCAGCAAUGCCGCGUGAGUGAUGAAGGCCGUUAGGUUGUAAAGCUCUUUACCCGAGAUGAUAAUGACAGUAUCGGAGAAGUAAGCUACCGGUACUAACGUCCGUCGCCAGCACGGCCGAC
rnacentral:rRNA from 1 species